UGCAAGUCGAACGCUCUCUAUGGCUUCGGUCAUUGGGGGAGUGGCGCACGGGUGAGUAACGCGUGGGAACCUGCCCAGGGGUGGGGGAUAACCGAUGGAAACGUCGGCUAAUACCGCAUACGUCCUCAGGGAGAAAGAUUUAUCGCCCUUGGAGGGGCCCGCGUCGGAUUAGCUAGUUGGUGGGGUAACGGCCUACCAAGGCGAUGAUCCGUAGCUGGUCUGAGAGGAUGAUCAGCCACACUGGGACUGAGACACGGCCCAGACUCCUACGGGAGGCAGCAGUGGGGAAUAUUGGACAAUGGGCGCAAGCCUGAUCCAGCAAUGCCGCGUGAGUGAUGAAGGCCUUAGGGUUGUAAAGCUCUUUCGGCGGGGACGAUGAUGACGGUACCCGCAGAAGAAGCCCCGGCUAACUUCGUGCCAGCAGCCGCGGUAAUACGAAGGGGGCGAGCGUUGUUCGGAAUUACUGGGCGUAAAGGGCGCGCAGGCGGCCUCUCAAGUCAGAUGUGAAAGCCCCGGGCUCAACCUGGGAAUGGCAUUUGGGACUGUGAGGCUAGAGAUCGGGAGAGGAGAGUGGAAUUCCCAGUGUAGAGGUGAAAUUCGUAGAUAUUGGGAAGAACACCGGUGGCGAAG
rnacentral:rRNA from 1 species